GGCCAAACUACCCUUUAGAUCCAGACAACCUCGGGAAACUGAGGCUAAUCCGGAAUAGGGCUCUCAUCCUGGAGUGGAGAGAGCCUGAAACGCUCCGGCGCUAUAGGAUGUGGCUGCGGCCGAUUAGGUAGACGGUGGGGUAACGGCCCACCGUGCCAGUAAUCGGUACGGGUUGUGAGAGCAAGAGCCGGAGACGGUAUCUGAGACAAGAUACCGGGCCCUACGGGGCGCAGCAGGCGCGAAACCUUUACACUGCACGCCAGUGCGAUAAGGGGACUCCAAGUGCGAGGGCAUAUAGUCCUCGCUUUUUGCGACCGUAAGGUGGUCGCGGAAUAAGUGCUGGGCAAGACCGGUGCCCAGCCGCCGCGGUAAUACCGGCAGCACAAGUGAUGACCGCUGUUAUUGGGCCUAAAGCGUCCGUAGCUGGCCGCGCAAGUCUAUCGGGAAAUCUCUCCGCUUAACGGAGAGGCGUCCGGUGGAAACUGUGUGGCUUGGGACCGGAAGACCAGAGGGGUACGUCUGGGGUAGGAGUGAAAUCCCGUAAUCCUGGACGGACCACCGGUGGCGAAAGCGCCUCUGGAAGACGGAUCCGACGGUGAGGGACGAAAGCUCGGGUCACGAACCGGAUUAGAUACCCGGGUAGUCCGAGCUGUAAACGAUGUCUGCUAGGUGUGACACAGGCUACGAGCCUGUGUUGUGCCGUAGGGAAGCCGUGAAGCAGACCGCCUGGGAAGUACGUCCGCAAGGAUGAAACUUAAAGGAAUUGGCGGGGGAGCACUACAACCGGAGGAGCCUGCGGUUUAAUUGGACUCAACGCCGGACAUCUCACCAGCAUCGACAAUGUGCAGUGACGGUCAGUAUGAUGAGCUUACCUGAGCCAUUGAGAGGAGGUGCAUGGCCGCCGUCAGCUCGUACCGUGAGGCGUCCUGUUAAGUCAGGCAACGAGCGAGACCCGCACCCUUAAUUGCCAGCAGCACCCUUGUGGUGGCUGGGUACAUUAAGAGGACUGCCAGUGCCAAACUGGAGGAAGGAACGGGCAACGGUAGGUCAGUAUGCCCCGAAUGUGCUGGGCGACACGCGGGCUACAAUGGCCAAGACAGUGGGAUGCAACGCCGAAAGGCGACGCUAAUCUCCGAAACUUGGUCGUAGUUCGGAUUGAGGGCUGAAACUCGCCCUCAUGAAGCUGGAUUCGGUAGUAAUCGCGCCUCAGAAGGGCGCGGUGAAUACGUCCCUGCUCCUUGCACACACCGCCCGUCAAAGCACCCGAGUGGGGUCCGGAUGAGGCCCGGUUUCCGGGUCGAAUCUGGGCUCCGCA
rnacentral:rRNA from 1 species